rnacentral:rRNA from 1 species
UUAAAUUGAAGAGUUUGAUCAUGGCUCAGAUUGAACGCUGGCGGCAGGCCUAACACAUGCAAGUCGAACGGUAACAGAAAGCAGCUUGCUGCUUUGCUGACGAGUGGCGGACGGGUGAGUAAUGUCUGGGAAACUGCCUGAUGGAGGGGGAUAACUACUGGAAACGGUAGCUAAUACCGCAUAACGUCGCAAGACCAAAGAGGGGGACCUUCGGGCCUCUUGCCAUCGGAUGAUGUGCCCAGAUGGGAUUAGCUAGU